GGUCAAGCGAACAAGUGCAUGUGGUGGAUGCCUUGGCGAUCACAGGCGAUGAAGGACGCGGUAGCCUGCGAAAAGCCCCGGGGAGCUGGCAAACAAGCUUUGAUCCGGGGAUGUCCGAAUGGGGAAACCCACUCCGUAUGGAGUAUCCAUAGCUGAAUACAUAGGCUAUGUGAAGCGAACGCGGUGAACUGAAACAUCUAAGUAACCGCAGGAAAAGAAAUCAACCGAGAUUCCCAAAGUAGUGGCGAGCGAAAUGGGAUGAGCCUUGUACUCUUUAUUUGUAUUGUUAGCCGAACGCUCUGGAAAGUGCGGCCAUAGCAGGUGAUAGCCCUGUAGGCGAAAACAGUAUGAAAGAACUAGGUGUACGACAAGUAGGGCGGGACACGUGAAAUCCUGUCUGAAGAUGGGGGGACCAUCCUCCAAGGCUAAAUACUCGUGAUCGACCGAUAGUGAACCAGUACCGUGAGGGAAAGGCGAAAAGAACCCCGGGAGGGGAGUGAAAUAGAUCCUGAAACCGCAUGCAUACAAACAGUCGGAGCCUCGUAAGGGGUGACGGCGUACCUUUUGUAUAAUGGGUCAGCGACUUACGUUCAGUAGCAAGCUUAACCGUAUAGGGCAGGCGUAGCGAAAGCGAGUCCGAAUAGGGCGUUCAGUUGCUGGGCGUAGACCCGAAACCAGGUGAUCUAUCCAUGGCCAGGAUGAAGGUGCGGUAACACGUACUGGAGGUCCGAACCCACUAACGUUGAAAAGUUAGGGGAUGAGCUGUGGAUAGGGGUGAAAGGCUAAACAAACCUGGAAAUAGCUGGUUCUCUCCGAAAACUAUUUAGGUAGUGCCUCGUGUCUCACCUUCGGGGGUAGAGCACUGUCAUGGUUGGGGGGUCUAUUGCAGAUUACCCCGCCAUAGCAAACUCCGAAUACCGAAGAGUGCAAUCACGGGAGACAGACAUCGGGUGCUAACGUCCGGUGUCAAGAGGGAAACAACCCAGACCGCCAGCUAAGGUCCCCAAAUAUGGCUAAGUGGGAAACGAAGUGGGAAGGCUAAAACAGUCAGGAGGUUGGCUUAGAAGCAGCCACCCUUUAAAGAAAGCGUAAUAGCUCACUGAUCGAGUCGUCCUGCGCGGAAGAUGUAACGGGGCUAAGCCAUAUACCGAAGCUGCGGAUGCGAGCUUGCUCGCAUGGUAGGAGAGCGUUCCGUAAGCCUGCGAAGGUGCCUUGUAAAGGGUGCUGGAGGUAUCGGAAGUGCGAAUGCUGACAUGAGUAGCGAUAAAGGGGGUGAAAGGCCCCCUCGCCGUAAGCCCAAGGUUUCCUACGCAACGUUCAUCGGCGUAGGGUGAGUCGGCCCCUAAGGCGAGGCAGAAAUGCGUAGCUGAUGGGAAGCAGGUCAAUAUUCCUGCACCAUUGUUAGAUGCGAUGGGGGGACGGAUCGCGGAAGGUUGUCCGGGUGUUGGACGUCCCGGUCGCUGCAUUGGAGAAGGCGCUUAGGCAAAUCCGGGCGCAGGAUUCAAGGGUGUGGCGCGAGCGACUUCGGUCGCGAAGCAAUUGGAAGUGGUUCCAAGAAAAGCCUCUAAGCUUCAGUCUAACGAUGACCGUACCGCAAACCGACACAGGUGGGCGAGAUGAGUAUUCUAAGGCGCUUGAGAGAACUCGGGAGAAGGAACUCGGCAAAUUGGUACCGUAACUUCGGGAUAAGGUACGCCCUUGUAGCUUGACCAGCCUGCGCUGGAAGGGUGAAGGGGUUGCAAUAAACUGGUGGCUGCGACUGUUUAAUAAAAACACAGCACUCUGCAAACACGAAAGUGGACGUAUAGGGUGUGACGCCUGCCCGGUGCCGGAAGAUUAAAUGAUGGGGUGCAAGCUCUUGAUUGAAGUCCCGGUAAACGGCGGCCGUAACUAUAACGGUCCUAAGGUAGCGAAAUUCCUUGUCGGGUAAGUUCCGACCUGCACGAAUGGCGUAACGAUGGCCACACUGUCUCCUCCCGAGACUCAGCGAAGUUGAAGUGUUUGUGAUGAUGCAAUCUACCCGCGGCUAGACGGAAAGACCCCAUGAACCUUUACUGUAGCUUUGCAUUGGACUUUGAACCGAUCUGUGUAGGAUAGGUGGGAGGCUAUGAAACCGGAACGCUAGUUUCGGUGGAGCCGUCCUUGAAAUACCACCCUGGUUUGUUUGAGGUUCUAACCUUGGUCCGUGAUCCGGAUCGGGGACAGUGCAUGGUAGGCAGUUUGACUGGGGCGGUCUCCUCCCAAAGGGUAACGGAGGAGUACGAAGGUACGCUAGGUACGGUCGGAAAUCGUGCUGAUAGUGCAAUGGCAUAAGCGUGCUUAACUGCGAGACCGACAAGUCGAGCAGGUGCGAAAGCAGGUCAUAGUGAUCCGGUGGUUCUGUAUGGAAGGGCCAUCGCUCAACGGAUAAAAGGUACUCUGGGGAUAACAGGCUGAUACCGCCCAAGAGUUCAUAUCGACGGCGGUGUUUGGCACCUCGAUGUCGGCUCAUCUCAUCCUGGGGCUGUAGCCGGUCCCAAGGGUAUGGCUGUUCGCCAUUUAAAGAGGUACGUGAGCUGGGUUUAAAACGUCGUGAGACAGUUUGGUCCCUAUCUGCCGUGGGCGUUGGAUAUUUGAAGGGGGCUGCUCCUAGUACGAGAGGACCGGAGUGGACGAACCUCUGGUGUACCGGUUGUGACGCCAGUCGCAUCGCCGGGUAGCUAUGUUCGGAAGAGAUAACCGCUGAAAGCAUCUAAGCGGGAAACUCGCCUUAAGAUGAGAUAUCCCUGGAGGCUUGACCUCCUUGAAGGGUCGUUCGAGACCAGGACGUUGAUAGGUCGGGUGUGUAAGCGCAGUAAUGCGUUCAGCUAACCGAUACUAAUUGCCCGUAAGGCUUGAUCCU
rnacentral:rRNA from 1 species